rnacentral:rRNA from 1 species
GAUGAACGCUGGCGGCGUGCCUAAUACAUGCAAGUCGAGCGAAGCGGGGACGGGUGAGUAACACGUGGAUAACCUCCUAUAAGACUGGGAUAACUUCGGGAAACCGGAGCUAAAACGGAUAAUUAUAGAUGGAUCCGCGCUGCAUUAGCUAGUUGUUAAGGUAACGGCUUACCAAGGCAACGAUGCAUAGCCGACCGGAGAGGGGGAUCGGCCACACUGGAACGGAUGCACGGUCCAGCCGCCUAAGUGGGGCAGCAGUAGGGAAUCUUCCGCAAUGGGCGAAAGCCUGACGGAGAAACGCCGCGUGAGUGAUGAGGGUCUUCGGAUCGUAAACCUCUGUUAUUAGGGAAGCGGUACCUAAUCAGAAAGCCACGGCUAACUACGUGCCAGCAGCCGCGGUAAUAC